UAUGGCCAUAUCAUGUUGAAACACCAGUUCUCAUUGGAUCACUGAAUUUAAACAAUGUUGAGCUUGGAAUGUACUCUCUUGGGUGACUUCUGGGUAAUACUAAGUGCUGUAAG